GCUCAGUGGUUUCCAAUCACUGAGAAUCACAUUAGGGUCUUAAGCACAUUAGGAUGACCUGUGAAGCUUUGAAAACUAGAGUGAAGCCAGAAUGGCUACACCCAGGAGCACAAAGGGUGAAGGGAACCCUCGUGAUGGCUUUGAAGACCAGAGGAGGCAGCGACUGCUGAGAGGAGAGCUAGUAAGGUUGGAAAUGGCAAUAAGGAAGACCCUCUUCCAGCACUAAGAAGCCGCAGCUGAUGAUCUGGCGGUGGUGGGGACACAGUGGACACAUCAAUUGCAUGUGCUAUAAUAAGUUUAGGACUAUGUAACAUGUGAAGAAAGCUGAGCGCUGAAGACUUGAUGCUUUUGAACUGUGGUAUUGGAGAAGACUCUUGAGAGUCCCUUGGACUACAAGGAGAUCCAACCAGUCCAUUCUGAAGGAGAUCAGCCCUGGGUGUUCUUUGGAAGGAAUGAUGCAAAAGCUGAAACUCCAGUACUUUGGCCACCUCAUGCGAAGAGUUGACUCAUUGGAAAAGACUCUGAUGCUGGGAGGGAUUGGGGGCAGGAGGAGAAGGGGACGACAGAGGAUGAGAUGGCUGGAUGGCAUGACUGGAUGGACAGGAGUUUGAGUGAACUCCAGGAGUUGGUAAUGGACAGGGAGGCCUGGCGUGCUGCAAUUCAUGGGGUCGCAAAGAGUCAGAC
ensembl:lncRNA